AGACCCGAAACCCGGUGAUCUAGCCAUGGGCAGGUUGAAGGUUGGGUAACACUAACUGGAGGACCGAACCGACUAAUGUUGAAAAAUUAGCGGAUGACCUGUGGCUGGGGGUGAAAGGCCAAUCAAACCGGGAGAUAGCUGGUUCUCCCCGAAAGCUAUUUAGGUAGCGCCUCGUGAAUUCAUCUCCGGGGGUAGAGCACUGUUUCGGCUAGGGGGCCAUCCCGGCUUACCAACCCGAUGCAAACUGCGAAUACCGGAGAAUGUUAUCACGGGAGACACACGGCGGGUGCUAACGUCCGUCGUGAAGAGGGAAACAACCCAGACCGCCAGCUAAGGUCCCAAAGUCAUGGUUAAGUGGGAAACGAUGUGGGAAGGCCCAGACAGCCAGGAUGUUGGCUUAGAAGCAGCCAUCAUUUAAAGAAAGCGUAAUAGCUCACUGGUCGAGUCGGCCUGCGCGGAAGAUGUAACGGGGCUAAACCAUGCACCGAAGCUGCGGCAGCGAACGUAUCACCCAAGACAACUUUACGGAGUUGACGAUUGACGGAGCGAAGCGACGUCAAAGCGUUCAUUAAAGUCGAGUUGGCUUAGGGAUACGUUCGUUGGGUA
rnacentral:rRNA from 3 species